rnacentral:rRNA from 1 species
UACAGACGGCGUAAGCGUUAUUCGGAAUUAUUGGGCGUAAAGGGUUCGUAGGCGGUUUAACAAACUUUGUGUGAAAAGCUAGGGUAUACCCUUAGAUAUACAUUAACUGAUUGUUAUACUUGAGUUUUUUAGAGGUUGGGGGAAUUUCUGGUGUAAGGGUAAAAUCUACCGAGAUUGGAAAGAACAUCAAUGGCGAAGGCACCUUUCUGGUUUUAACUGACGCUGAGGGACGAAAGCGUGGGGAGCAAACAGG